rnacentral:lncRNA from 1 species
AGCUGCGUGGUGACAGGAACUUGUGGGUGAAGCUGAUUCUGAGCCCAUAGGAUUGCUUUACCGCCUUCCUUAAUUUAUACAGUUACUGAAGUCUUACCAUUUACGGGAAACUGCUGACACUGGGAGAACCAGAGGUGGCUCAGACACAGACUGUCAUCUCUAGACCCAGAGCACAGCAACAGAGAAGACAGAGGUGCUGAUACAAGGCCCAGCAUACGAAUGCAGAAGAAACUAUACUCAGGUCCCAGGGAAACACUGGGGGGAACACGGCAGCUGCAGAUGCUCCACUUGGCGUCCCGGGUUCUGAUAGAUUUGACCUUCAGACCAAUUAUGCACCCAGGAAAAAAGAAUUCAUAUCUGACUAUCUGCUUUCGGCUACAUAAGCACUGAGCGAGAUGAACUGGUUUUAUCCGCAUUAACAUCAGGGGUGGUAGCCAGUGCCCCUGGUACACACUCAUGCCAUCACUUGGCCGCUUCUCCCUUAUUUAGCUCACCCUCCCACCCAAGACUCAAGCAAAUGUACCAGUAACUGUCGGAUCCUGAACUCAAACUAAUGACAGACAUUAAAACUCUUGCUUAUUAGAAAACAGCUAUGCUCUUAAUGUAAAAGUAGGAAAAAAUAAGUCUUAUUGGAAGGACACCAUGCCAGCCCCCCUAUACCUUCUUUGUGCCUCAUGUCAACUCACUAAAAUACCUAUUAAUAUCCGCACAUAUAACUGAGGAAACAAGCUCAGCAAGAUAAGCUAAUUUCCUUACUUAAUCACCAUACAUUUUGUUCAUCUAUAUAUUUCAUGUCUGGGGUAUAAAGAUGAAUAAGACUGACCCCGCCCCCCCCAACUGGUUGGAGCACAGGGAGGUAGGAUGUUUGAGGUUUGGGGGAUGGGAGGAUGUAAGAGACCAUCGAGGGCUACCACACAGCACCAUGUGGUAGGAGCACUGUGCGAGUGUGAUAAAUGCUCUGAGAGGACAGCCGUGAAGCGAUCGGGAGCGGUCCACGCAGUUGGAGUUUUGCAGGUGUACUGGGAGCAGGAGGGGGAAUUAUGGGGUGAUAUGGGUAGGACUUCCCGGAGAACUGGAGAAGAUGAAUGUGGGUUUACCCGGAAGACUACAUGUGUCAGACCUGGAAAGCUUAAAAUAGAAGAACAAGGAAGCAGGAGAAGCACCAGGAGACGGGAAGAUACCUCUGAGAGUUAACCUACAGGAUCGGCAUUCCUGACUGCAGCUGUGCCAUGGACAUAAUAGAAUCUACAACUGAUGAGCCCAUGCUCAGAGGCAAAAAGGGGAAAAGUCUCCAAGAGAUGCUGAGAG